rnacentral:lncRNA from 1 species
UUUAUUCACAUCUCAGGGUUAAAGGCUGACUUCCAGCUUCCUGACCUCAGAGGCCGCUUCACGAGCAUGAAGCUUCCUGCAGCCGUGACCACAGACGGCACCUGCCUCCUCGUCACAGCUUAUUAUCUGCCUUGGGUGGUUGAACCACACGUUUCCUAUUAAGAGCUUCAAAACCCUGCGAAGCAGUCACCGACAACAUGUCCGCCGCGUGGAUGCGGCUCGCAGCCGUCCUGUGCCUCAGCGGCCCGGUUCUGGCCGACCCAGAGAGCGAGGACGUCCUGUGGAGAGCGUGUGGGGAGUCCGUCACCAUCCAGUGCAGGUCGUCGGAACCGCAGCUGAAGCAUUUGGACCUGAGGAAGGGACUUAAUAAGUACGUCUCAGUUUUACAACAAUCUGCGGCCUCGGAUCAUAGGAUCGGAGGAGAAUUCACAGAGAGAGUGCAGGGGAAUGGGGCGUUCCCCAACGUGGACGUCCUCAUCAAAAACCUGACCUCAGGCGACACAGGCGUGUACCGGUGCAUGUACAGGCAGGCGAAUCAGACCGGAACCGAGGCCAAGCAAGGCAGCGGGUCGGUGCUGGUGGUGGUCAGAGGUAAGCUCACCUCAGAAUCAGUAACUAAAACCAGUGAAACCACCCCAGUGAUUUCACGCAGCCUCGUUGCUAGGAGACAGGUGCAGGCCCGCCUGCUGCCCGGCGCCGGAGGAGCAGAGCCUGGUUCCGGUGUGGGUCAUGGUCGGCGCCGCCGCGCUCCUCACCGUCGUCAUGUGUCUGCUCAUGUGGCUCAUCAAGACCAAGACCGCGGCGCCGGCCGAGGCCACCACGUACGCCACCAUGAAGCCGGGGUCCGAGCCCGGCGGCAGCGGCGCCGACGUGUACGAGGAGAUGAGGGGGGCGCUCGGGCCUCCGCCUGCGGGCGCCAUGGGGCUCCAGGGAGCGGGUGAGGGCGACGCCGGCCUUUCUGCCUGA